rnacentral:rRNA from 1 species
AGUGAACGCUGGCGGUAGGCCUAACACAUGCAAGUCGAACGGCAGCACAGUAAGAGCUUGCUCUUACGGGUGGCGAGUGGCGGACGGGUGAGGAAUACAUCGGAAUCUACUUUUUCGUGGGGGAUAACGUAGGGAAACUUACGCUAAUACCGCAUACGACCUACGGGUGAAAGCAGGGGAUCUUCGGACCUUGCGCGAUUGAAUGAGCCGAUGUCGGAUUAGCUGGUUGGCGGGGUAAAGGCCCACCAAGGCGACGAUCCGUAGCUGGUCUGAGAGGAUGAUCAGCCACACUGGAACUGAGACACGGUCCAGACUCCUACGGGAGGCAGCAGUGGGGAAUAUUGGACUAUGGGCGCAAGCCUGAUCCAGCCAUACCGCGUGGGUGAAGAAGGCCUUCGGGUUGUAAAGCCCUUUUGUUGGGAAAGAAAAGCAGCAGGUUAAUACCCCGCUGUUCUGACGGUACCCAAAGAAUAAGCACCGGCUAACUUCGUG